AGCGCGGGACGGGCGCGAGCGUGACCGUUGGAAUCGUGCGACGGGUCGGGACGCUCGUGGCGCGGGUAAUGCCUGUUUGCAGGAACGUAAAGGCGGCUCGAAAACGAUGCCACCUAUCAACCUGACUGAACCAACCUACUGUAUGGUGUAAAGUGAUUCAUCAGAAUCUUCAGCUGACAUUAGUCCAGCGACCGUUUGAAAUUGCUUGUUUCCUUUAAACCAUGCAGGAACAGCUUCCCCCUAUGUAUCCAGCUAGCUCAUGAUUUUGAAGGCCUCAUUGAAUCUCCUGUCAACCUUCUGUCAAGGAGAAGAGUUCCAGCUUCUUCAAUCUAUCCUCGUAAUGAAGUUUCUCAUUCCUCGAACCAUUCUUGUA